rnacentral:tRNA from 1 species
UAGCUCAGUCGGUAGAGCAUGAGAUUCUUAAUCUCAGGGUCCUGGGUUUGGGCCCCACG